rnacentral:rRNA from 1 species
ACCCGCACAAGCGGUGGAUGAUGUGGUUUAAUUCGAUGCAACGCGAAAACCUUACCCACCUUUGACAUGUACGGAAUCCUUUAGAGAUAGAGGAGUGCUCGAAAGAGAACCGUAACACAGGUGCUGCAUGGCUGUCGUCAGCUCGUGUCGUGAGAUGUUGGGUUAAGUCCCGCAACGAGCGCAACCCUUGUCAUUAGUUGCUACAUUCAGUUGGGCACUCUAAUGGGACUGCCGGUGACAAACCGGAGGAAGGUGGGGAUGACGUCAAGUCCUCAUGGCCCUUAUAGGUGGGGCUACACACGUCAUACAAUGGCCGGUACAGAGGGUAGCCAACCCGCGAGGGGGAGCCAAUCCCACAAAGCCGGUCGUAGUCCGGAUCGCAGUCUGCAACUCGACUGCGUGAAGUCGGAAUCGCUAGUAAUCGUGGAUCAGCAUGUCACGGUGAAUACGUUCCCGGGUCUU